ACCCACUAGUCUUACUGCAAUGAUCCCGACCUGGUCCUAGAACUGAAGAACCUGAUAGUUAUAUUUGCAGACACUUUACAGGGUUAUGGCUUCCCUGUGAACAGACUUUUUGACCUUUUGUUUGAGGUUAGAGAUCAGUACAAUGAAACAUUGCUCAAGAAAUGGGCCCUGGUGUUCAGGGAUAUUUUUGAGCAGGACAACUACAGCCCCAUUCCAGUGGAAAAUGAAGAGGAGUAUAAGGCUGUGGUCAGUCGCUUCCCCUUCCAUGAUGCAGAGAUUGAAAAGCAACAAUUUCCAAAGAAGCUGCCCAUGUCCCAGUCAGUGCCU